AGAGUGGCGCACGGGUGCGUAACGCGUGAGCAACCUGCCCGUCCCAGGGGGAUAGCCCGGAGAAAUCCGGAUUAAUACCGCAUGAGAAUGCAGGCCCGCAUGGGCCUUCGUUUAAAUAUUCAUAGGGGACGGAUGGGCUCGCGUGACAUUAGCUUGUUGGCGGGGUAACGGCCCACCAAGGCGACGAUGUCUAGGGGCUCUGAGAGGAGAAACCCCCACACUGGUACUGAGACACGGACCAGACUCCUACGGGAGGCAGCAGUAAGGAAUAUUGGUCAAUGGGGGGAACCCUGAACCAGCCAUGCCGCGUGCAGGAAGACGGCCCUACGGGUUGUAAACUGCUUUUGCACGGGAAUAACCCCCGGUAUGUAUACCGGGCUGAAUGUACCGUGAGAAUAAGGAUCGGCUAACUCCGUGCCAGCAGCCGCGGUAAUACGGAGGAUCCGAGCGUUAUCCGGAAUUAUUGGGUUUAAAGGGUGCGUAGGCGGCGCGCUAAGUCAGGGGUGAAAGACGGUGGCUCAACCAUCGCAGUGCCUUUGAUACUGGCGCGCUUGAAUGUACCUGAGGUAGGCGGAAUGUGGCAAGUAGCGGUGAAAUGCAUAGAUAUGCCACAGAACACCGAUUGCGAAGGCAGCUUACCAAAGUACGAUUGACGCUGAGGCACGAAAGCGUGGGGAUCGAACAGGAUUAGAUACCCUGGUAGUCCACGCCCUAAACGAUGAACACUCGAUGUCGGCGAUAGACGGUCGGCGUCCAAGCGAAAGCGUUAAGUGUUCCACCUGGGGAGUACGCCCGCAAGGGUGAAACUCAAAGGAAUUGACGGGGGCCCGCACAAGCGGAGGAGCAUGUGGUUUAAUUCGAUGAUACGCGAGGAACCUUACCCGGGCUUGAAAGUUACUGAACUGUCCAGAGAUGGACAGGUCCUUCGGGACAGGAAACUAGGUGCUGCAUGGCUGUCGUCAGCUCGUGCCGUGAGGUGUUGGGUUAAGUCCCGCAACGAGCGCAACCCCUAUGUUUAGUUGCCAGCACGUCAAGGUGGGGACUCUAAACAGACUGCCUGUGCAAACAGAAAGAAGGGGGGGACAACGUCAAGUCAUCAUGGCCCUUACGUCCGGGGCUACCACGGGCUAAAUGGGGGGACAGAGGGAGGAACCCGGAGGGAAGCAUUUCAAAAACCCCUCAGUUCGAUCGGGGCUGAACCCCCCCGAAUGAUUCCUUAAAUCGUUUAAAAGACGGGAAAAUUCCCGCUUU
rnacentral:rRNA from 1 species